GACGAACGCUGGCGGCGUGCUUAACACAUGCAAGUCGAACGGAAAGGCCCUGCUUGCAGGGUACUCGAGUGGCGAACGGGUGAGUAACACGUGGGUGAUCUGCCCUGCACUUCGGGAUAAGCCUGGGAAACUGGGUCUAAUACCGGAUAGUAGCCAUUUUUAGUGUGAUGGUUGGAAAGUUUUUUCGGUGUAGGAUGAGCUGGCGGCCUAUCAGCUUGUUGGUGGGGUAAUGGCCUACCAAGGCGGCGACGGGUAGCCGGCCUGAGAGGGUGGACGGCCACAUUGCGCCUGAGGUACGGCCCAGACUCCUACGGGAGGCAGCAGUCGGAAGUCUUGCACAAUGAGCGCAAGCCUGAGGCAGCGACGCCGCGUGGGGAAUGACGGCCUUCGGGUUGUAAACUCCUUUCGCUAGAGACGAAGCUUUUGUGACGGUACCUAGUGAGGAAGCCCCGGCUAACUACGUG
rnacentral:rRNA from 1 species